UACGGAGGAUGCGAGCGUUAUCCGGAUUUAUUGGGUUUAAAGGGUGCGUAGGCGGGCAUUUAAGCCGGCGGUCAAAUGUCGGGGCUCAACCCCGACAAGCCGUUGAAACUGGCUUGCUAGAGUGGGCGAGAAGUAUGCGGAAUGCGUGGUGUAGCGGUGAAAUGCUUGGAUAUCGCGCAGAACCCCGAUUGCGAAGGCAGCGUACCGGCUCCACACUGACGCUGAGGCACGAAAGCGUGGGUAUCGAACAGG
rnacentral:rRNA from 1 species